rnacentral:rRNA from 1 species
AGCGAACGCUGGCGGCAGGCCUAACACAUGCAAGUCGAACGAACCCUUCGGGGUUAGUGGCGGACGGGUGAGUAACACGUGGGAACGUGCCCUUUGGUUCGGAAUAACUCGGGGAAACCCGAGCUAAUACCGAAUGAGCCCUACGGGGGAAAGAUUUAUCGCCGAAGGAGCGGCCCGCGUCUGAUUAGGUAGUUGGUGGGGUAAAGGCCCACCAAGCCUACGAUCAGUAGCUGGUCUGAGAGGAUGACCAGCCACAUUGGGACUGAGACACGGCCCAAACUCCUACGGGAGGCAGCAGUGGGGAAUCUUGCGCAAUGGGCGAAAGCCUGACGCAGCCAUGCCGCGUGAAUGAUGAAGGUCUUAGGAUUGUAAAAUUCUUUCACCGGGGACGAUAAUGACGGUACCCGGAGAAGAAGCCCCGGCUAACUUCGUGCCAGCAGCCGCGGUAAUACGAAGGGGGCUAGCGUUGCUCGGAAUUACUGGGCGUAAAGGGCGCGUAGGCGGACAGUUUAGUCAGGGGUGAAAUCCCAGGGCUCAACCC